rfam:Danio rerio chromosome 20, GRCz11 reference primary assembly.
AUGAAAAUGGCCGAGUGGUCUAAGGUGCCAGACUUAUGUUUAAUCAAUCUUCUCAACGUAUAAGGUUUCUCCUCUCCAGAUGGAGGCGUGGGUUCAAUUCCCACUUCUGACA